rnacentral:rRNA from 1 species
ACGUAGGGACCAAGCGUUGUUCGGAUUUACUGGGCGUAAAGGGCGCGUAGGCGGCAAUUCAAGUCAGCUGUGAAAUCUCCGGGCUUAACUCGGAACGGUCAGCUGAUACUGCUUUGCUAGAGUGCGGAAGGGGCAAUCGGAAUUCUCGGUGUAGCGGUGAAAUGCGUAGAUAUCGAGAGGAACACCUGAGGUGAAGACGGGUUGCUGGGCCGACACUGACGCUGAGGCGCGAAAGCCAGGGUAGCAAACGGGA